GUUUUCCUGAGGUUGCUCUUCAUUUUGUCAAGGAUGAGCUUACUCGUUUCAACUUAGCACUUGAAAGUGGGAACAUUGAGAUAGCUCUUGAAUCUGCUAAGAAGCUUGAUGAGAAGGAUCAUUGGUAUAGGCUCGGGGUGGAGGCCCUUCGACAGGGUAAUGCAGGUAUUGUUGAAUAUGCCUACCAGAAGACGAAGAACUUUGAGAGGCUCUCUUUCCUUUAUCUAAUAACAGGAAACCUGGAUAAGUUGUCAAAAAUGAUGAAAAUUGCUGAGGUAAAAAAUGAAGUUAUGGGUCAAUUCCACGAUGCCUUGUACCUUGGUAAUGUUCGUGAACGUGUCAAGAUUUUGGAGGAGGCUGGUCAUCUUCCCCUUGCAUACAUCACAGCGAAUGUUCAUGGGCUGAAGGAUACUGCUGAGCAUCUUGCUGAAAAACUGGGUGAUAAUGUUCCAUCAUUGCCAAAGGAUAAGAAAGCAUCUCUCUUGCAGCCCCCAACUCCCAUUUUGGGUGGGGGAGACUGGCCUCUACUGAUGGUCACAAAAGGUAUAUUUGAAGGUGGUUUGGAUUCUACAGUCAGGGGCGGACAUGAGGAGUACGAAGAGGCUGCAGAUGCUGAUUGGGGUGAGUCACUGGAUAUUGGUGAGGUGGAAAAUCUGCAGAAUGGGGAUAUCAGUAUGGUGCUGGAUGAUGAAGAAGGAAAAGAAGAAAAUGAUGAGGAAGGAGGAUGGGAUCUUGAGGAUUUGGAUCUGCCACCUGAUACUGACACACCAAAGACUGCUUCCAAUGCCCGCUCUUCUGUUUUUGUUACCCCAAACCCUGGCAUGCCUGUCAGCCAGAUUUGGGUCCAAAAAUCAUCUCUUGCUGCAGAACAUGCAGCUGCUGGCAAUUUCGAUACUGCUAUGCGUUUGCUGAGCCGACAACUAGGGAUUAAGAACUUCUCUCCUUUAAAGCAAUUGUUUGCUGAUCUUCAUAUGGGAAGCCAUACAUAUCUCCGUGCCUUCUCCUCGGCACCAGUUAUCUCUCUGGCAAUUGAGAGAGGUUGGAGUGAGACAGCUAGUCCCAAUGUGCGGGGUCCACCUGCCCUCAUCUUCAAUUUCAGUCAGCUCGAAGAAAAACUUAAAACUGCCUACAGAGCCACUACUUCUGGGAAAUUCUCUGAUGCUCUUAGAUUAUUCCUGAGCAUUCUUCACACCAUUCCUUUAAUUGUGGUUGAGUCAAGACGAGAGGUGGAUGAGGUCAAGGAAUUGAUUGUCAUAGUGAAGGAGUACGUUUUAGGUUUGCAGAUGGAGGUUAAGAGGAAGGAAUCAAAAGACAACCCUGUUCGUCAGCAGGAGUUGGCUGCCUACUUCACACACUGUAAUCUGCAGCUUCCACACCUGAGGCUCGCAUUACAGAAUGCUAUGUCUAUCUGCUAUAAGGCAAGCAAUCUCAGCUCAGCAGCCAACUUUGCCAGGAGACUGUUGGAGACAAAUCCAACCAAUGAAAGCCAAGCGAAAACAGCCCGCCAGGUUCUUCAAGCAGCUGAGAAAAAUAUGAGAGAUGCUACAGAGUUGAAUUAUGACUUCAGGAAUCCGUUUGUGGUCUGUGGCGCAACAUAUGUCCCUAUUUACAGAGGGCAGAAGGAUGUCACUUGCCCUUAUUGUACUACUCAUUUUGUUCCAUCCCAGCAAGGACAGCUUUGUACUGUUUGUGAU
rnacentral:misc_RNA from 1 species